GACGAACGCUGGCGGCGUGCUUAACACAUGCAAGUCGAACGGAAAGGCCCUGCUUUUGUGGGGUGCUCGAGUGGCGAACGGGUGAGUAACACGUGAGUAACCUGCCCUUGACUUUGGGGUAACUUCAGGAAACUGGGGCUCAUACCGGAUAGGAGCUCCUGCUGCAUGGUGGGGGUUGUAAAGUUUCGGCGGUUGGGGAUGGACUCGCGGCUUUUCAGCUUGUUGGUGGGGUAGUGGCUUACCAAGGCUUUGACGGGUAGCCGGCCUGAGAGGGUGACCGGCCACAGUGGGACUGAGAUACGGCCCAGACUCCUACGGGAGGCAGCAGUGGGGAAUAUUGCACAAUGGGCGGAAGCCUGAUGCAGCAACACCGCGUGCGGGAUGACGGCCUUCGGGUUGUAAACCGCUUUCGCCUGGGACGAAGCGUGAGUGACGGUAAUGGGUAAAGAAGCACCGGCUAACUACGUG
rnacentral:rRNA from 1 species